UAUAAAUCAAAGAAGUUCAAUGUUAGUGCUGGUAUAGGUUUGAAUGUCAAUAAUGAGAAACCAACGACAUGCUUGAAUGCAAUAAUAAGAGAAUUAUCUGCUGCUGCUUUCCAAUUAAGAAGAGAAGAAAUUAUUGCAGCUUUUUUUAACAAAUAUGAAAAGAUCGUAGAGAUUUUCAAAUUUGUUAAAAAAAGCUGCAAUAAUUUCU
rnacentral:misc_RNA from 1 species